UUUAGUAUAGCCAUUCUCACAGAUGUAAGGUGUUAUGUCAUUGUGGUUUGGAUUUGUAUUUCCCUGAUGAUGAGUGAUGUUGAGCAUCUUUUCAUGUGUCUUUUAGCCAUUUUAAUGUCUUCUUUG